rnacentral:tRNA from 1 species
GGAUAUCCUAGAAGCCUGCGGAGCUUUUGACCCGGGUUCAAAUCCCGGCCGGGACG